UUGAAUACUGGAAUGAAUGAUURUACAGUUAAAUUUUUUCUUUUUAUUUUUUAGUAAUUUAGAGUUUUAGUUAAAAUUCUAAAAUUAAUUAAAAAGACGAUAAGACCCUAAAAGCUUUAUUUUAUUUAUUUAUAUAUUAAGUAAGUAUAUUUUUUACUGGGGUAGUUUUUUUAUUUAUUUUAAUAAAUUAAACUAUUAGUUUUAUAUUCCUUAAUAUUAGGAUUUAAAUGAGUUACUUUAGGGAUAACAGCAUAAUAUUGUUGAAGAGAACAUAUCUAUAAUAAUGAUUAUGACCUCGAUGUUGAAUUAAUAUAUCUUUUUAAAGUAGAUUUUAGAUAAGAGGGUUUGUUCAACCUUUAAU
rnacentral:rRNA from 1 species